UCCCUGGUGGUCUAGUAGUUAAGACUCCUUGUUUCCAAUGCAGGGGGCACAGAUUUGAUCCCUGGUCAGGGAA
rnacentral:tRNA from 1 species